CUCUACUGCCGCGAGCCCGGCCGCUACGAUGGUUCCAGAGGCUCCAGAAGGUGAAUGUGACUGCACCCUCUUUCCCAGUGAAGGGAUGCCGAUGACAGCCCCCAUGUAGCUUCCUCUGUGGGACGGUUUCAGCGGGGUCCCAGAUCCAGCUAUCAGGACAUGGCAGGAUUCGUCACCUGGCGUGCCCCCAGACCCGGAAGGGAUGAGGAAAGGUGGAGUUUCGCUCUCGUUGCCCAGGCUGGAGUGCAAUGGCACGAUCUCAGCUCACCGCAACCUCCACCUCCCAGAUUCAAGCGAUUCUCCUGCCUCAGCCUCCCGAGUAACUGGAAUUGCAGGCGUGCACCACCAUGCCCAGCUAAUUUUUUGUAUUGUGAGUAGAGACGGAGUUUCACCAUGUUGGCCAGGCUGGUCUCAAACUCCUGACAUCAGGUGAUCCGCCCACCUUGGCCUCCCAAAGUGCUGGGAUAACAGAUGUGAACCACCGCACCCGGCUUGAAUAGCCAUUUCUUCAAAAAGAUACACAAAUGAUAAUAAGCACAUGGAGAGAUGCUUCACAUCCCUAAUCACUAGAGAAAUGCAAAUCAACACUAAUAAUUGUGAAGACACCACUUCACAACUAUUUGAAUGGCUCUUAUUUUUAUUUUUUUUAAUUUAUUUGUUUUUGAGAGGGAGUUUUUCUCUGUUGCCCAGGCCGCAGUGCAGUGGCACCAUCUCGGCUCACUACAACCUCCACCUCCCGGGUUCAAGUGAUUAUCUUGCCUCAGCCUCCAGAGUAGCUGGGAUUACAGGCACCUGCCACCACGCCUGGCUAAUUUUUAUAUUUUUAGUAGAGAUGCGGUUUCGCCAUGUUGGCCAGGCUGGUCUCGAACUCCUGACCUCAAGUGAUCUGCCCACCUUGGCCUCCCAAAGUGCUGGGAUUACAGGUGUGAGCCGCCGCGCCUGGCCAGGCUCUUAUUUUUAGAAUGGACAAUACCGUGUUGGUGAGGAUGUUACAAGUGGGGACCCUUGUGCGCUGCUUGUGGGAAUGUAAAGUGGCAUGGCUGGAAAACAGAUGUCAGAAGCUCACACGGUAGCAUCAUAGGAUCCACAGUCCCCCUUCUGGGUGCGGCAUCGUAGGAUCCACAGUCCCCCUUCUGGGUGUAGGGGCUCAGAGAGACAUUUGCACAUCCAUGUUCCUGGGAGCAUCAUUCACGGUAGACACAGGUGGAAGCAACCCAGUUGUCCGUGGGUGGAUGAACGGAUUCAUAAAAUGUGACAUGUACUUUUAAACAAAAAUUAUGGGCAGCUGUUGUUUUGAAUGGAGCUCCUACACCAGGCCCCAAUACAUCACUCCAUUUUGGUUUGGCCUGAAGGCUAAAUGGCAUCAUCAAACUGAAACUUUAAGGAAGCAGAUAGAUCCCAAAGCUGACCAGUUUUUUCUGAAAACAGGAGACUGCAGUCUACCUGGUCAGUGUACAAAGGAAGUCCCUCUGCUUUAACCCUUACAACAAGGAACCUGAGGGAACCCGAUGUCAACCGUCAGCCUUUCUUCUGUUCCGUGUCCCUGUACCCACUUUACAAAACCCACUGUUGGCCAUUGCCCAGGGGGAGCUCUCAUUCCUCGACUGAGGCUGCCCCAUUCGUGAAUCGAGAAUAAAG
rnacentral:lncRNA from 10 species